rnacentral:misc_RNA from 1 species
UCCGGUUUGUCACCGGCAGUCUCACUAGAGUGCCCGUUACCGUAGCAACUAGUGACAAGGGUUGCGCUCGUUGCGGGACUUAACCCAACAUCUCACGACACGAGCUGACGACAGCCAUGCAGCACCUGUGUCCAGGCUCCCUUUCGGGCACACCUCUCUCUCAAGAGGCUUCCUGGCAUGUCAAGGGUAGGUAAGGUGGGGAGACGUCACUUACAGCGUAC